rnacentral:rRNA from 1 species
CAGUUCGGAUUGAAGGCUGAAAUUCGCCUUCAUGAAGCCGGAAUUGCUAGUAAUGGCAGGUCAGCAUACUGCCGUGAAUACGUUCCCGGGCCUUGUACACACCGCCCGUCACACCAUGAGAGUUGGGAAUACCCGAAGCCUGUGAGCUAACGUUAAGAGGCAGCAGUCGAAGGUAGAAUCAAUGAUUGGGGUGAAGUCGUAACAAGGUACC